GACGAACGCUGGCGGCGUGCCUAAUACAUGCAAGUUGAGCGCUGAAGGUUGGUACUUGUACCGACUGGAUGAGCAGCGAACGGGUGAGUAACGCGUGGGGAAUCUGCCUUUGAGCGGGGGACAACAUUUGGAAACGAAUGCUAAUACCGCAUAAAAACUUUAAACACAAGUUUUAAGUUUGAAAGAUGCAAUUGCAUCACUCAAAGAUGAUCCCGCGUUGUAUUAGCUAGUUGGUGAGGUAAAGGCUCACCAAGGCGAUGAUACAUAGCCGACCUGAGGGGGUGAUCGGCCACAUUGGGACUGAGACACGGCCCAAACUCCUACGGGAGGCAGCAGUAGGGAAUCUUCGGCAAUGGACGAAAGUCUGACCGAGCAACGCCGCGUGAGUGAAGAAGGUUUUCGGAUCGUAAAACUCUGUUGGUAGAGAAGAACGUUGGUGAGAGUGGAAAGCUCAUCAAGUGACGGUAACUACCCAGAAAGGGACGGCUAACUACGU
rnacentral:rRNA from 1 species